rnacentral:rRNA from 1 species
ACACGGCGGGUGCUAACGUCCGUCGUGAAGAGGGAAACAACCCAGACCGCCAGCUAAGGUCCCAAAGUCAUGGUUAAGUGGGAAACGAUGUGGGAAGGCCCAGACAGCCAGGAUGUUGGCUUAGAAGCAGCCAUCAUUUAAAGAAAGCGUAAUAGCUCACUGGUCGAGUCGGCCUGCGCGGAAGAUGUAACGGGGCUAAACCAUGCACCGAAGCUGCGGCAGCGACACUAUGUGUUGUUGGGUAGGGGAGCGUUCUGUAAGCCUGUGAAGGUGGCCUGUGAGGGUUGCUGGAGGUAUCAGAAGUGCGAAUGCUGACAUAAGUAACGAUAAAGCGGGUGAAAAGCCCGCUCGCCGGAAGACCAAGGGUUCCUGUCCAACGUUAAUCGGGGCAGGGUGAGUCGACCCCUAAGGCGAGGCCGAAAGGCGUAGUCGAUGGGAAACAGGUUAAUAUUCCUGUACUUGGUGUUACUGCGAAGGGGGGACGGAGAAGGCUAUGUUGGCCGGGCGACGGUUGUCCCGGUUUAAGCGUGUAGGCUGGUUUUCCAGGCAAAUCCGGAAAACCAAGGCUGAGGCGUGAUGACGAGGCACUACGGUGCUGAAGCGACAAAUGCCCUGCUUCCAGGAAAAGCCUCUAAGCAUCAGGUAACAUCAAAUCGUACCCCAAACCGACACAGGUGGUCAGGUAGAGAAUACCAAGGCGCUUGAGAGAACUCGGGUGAAGGAACUAGGCAAAAUGGUGCCGUAACUUCGGGAGAAGGCACGCUGAUAUGUAGGUGAAGCGACUUGCUCGUGGAGCUGAAAUCAGUCGAAGAUACCAGCUGGCUGCAACUGUUUAUUAAAAACACAGCACUGUGCAAACACGAAAGUGGACGUAUACGGUGUGACGCCUGCCCGGUGCCGGAAGGUUAAUUGAUGGGGUUAGCGGUAACGCGAAGCUCUUGAUCGAAGCCCCGGUAAACGGCGGCCGUAACUAUAACGGUCCUAAGGUAGCGAAAUUCCUUGUCGGGUAAGUUCCGACCUGCACGAAUGGCGUAAUGAUGGCCAGGCUGUCUCCACCCGAGACUCAGUGAAAUUGAACUCGCUGUGAAGAUGCAGUGUACCCGCGGCAAGACGGAAAGACCCCGUGAACCUUUACUAUAGCUUGACACUGAACAUUGAGCCUUGAUGUGUAGGAUAGGUGGGAGGCUUUGAAGUGUGGACGCCAGUCUGCAUGGAGCCGACCUUGAAAUACCACCCUUUAAUGUUUGAUGUUCUAACGUUGGCCCGUAAUCCGGGUUGCGGACAGUGUCUGGUGGGUAGUUUGACUGGGGCGGUCUCCUCCUAAAGAGUAACGGAGGAGCACGAAGGUUGGCUAAUCCUGGUCGGACAUCAGGAGGUUAGUGCAAUGGCAUAAGCCAGCUUGACUGCGAGCGUGACGGCGCGAGCAGGUGCGAAAGCAGGUCAUAGUGAUCCGGUGGUUCUGAAUGGAAGGGCCAUCGCUCAACGGAUAAAAGGUACUCCGGGGAUAACAGGCUGAUACCGCCCAAGAGUUCAUAUCGACGGCGGUGUUUGGCACCUCGAUGUCGGCUCAUCACAUCCUGGGGCUGAAGUAGGUCCCAAGGGUAUGGCUGUUCGCCAUUUAAAGUGGUACGCGAGCUGGGUUUAGAACGUCGUGAGACAGUUCGGUCCCUAUCUGCCGUGGGCGCUGGAGAACUGAGGGGGGCUGCUCCUAGUACGAGAGGACCGGAGUGGACGCAUCACUGGUGUUCGGGUUGUCAUGCCAAUGGCACUGCCCGGUAGCUAAAUGCGGAAGAGAUAAGUGCUGAAAGCAUCUAAGCACGAAACUUGC